GAGGAGAUAGCUCAAAUGGUAGAGCGCCACUUCAAUGUGGAGGUUAUGGGUUCGAGGCCCAUUCUCUUUU
rnacentral:tRNA from 1 species